AGUGAACGCUGGCGGUAGGCCUAACACAUGCAAGUCGAACGGCAGCACAGUAAGAGCUUGCUCUUACGGGUGGCGAGUGGCGGACGGGUGAGGAAUACAUCGGAAUCUACUUUUUCGUGGGGGAUAACGUAGGGAAACUUACGCUAAUACCGCACACGACCUACGGGUGAAAGCAGGGGAUCUUCGGACCUUGCGCGAUUGAAUGAGCCGAUGUCGGAUUAGCUAGUUGGCGGGGUAAAGGCCCACCAAGGCGACGAUCCGUAGCUGGUCUGAGAGGAUGAUCAGCCACACUGGAACUGAGACACGGUCCAGACUCCUACGGGAGGCAGCAGUGGGGAAUAUUGGACAAUGGGCGCAAGCCUGAUCCAGCCAUACCGCGUGGGUGAAGAAGGCCUUCGGGUUGUAAAGCCCUUUUGUUGGGAAAGAAAAGCAGCAGGUUGAUACCCCGCUGUUCUGACGGUACCCAAAGAAUAAGCACCGGCUAACUUCGUG
rnacentral:rRNA from 1 species